AGAAUCAACGCUGGCGGCGUGCCUAACACAUGCAAGUCGAACGAGAAAGUGGAGCAAUCCAUGAGUAAAGUGGCGACCGGGUGAGUAACACGUGACUAACCUACCUUCGAGUGGGGGAUAACAUCGGGAAACCGAUGCUAAUACCGCAUAACAUCGCAAGAUCAAAGCAGCAAUGCGCUGGAAGAGGGGGUCGCGGCUGAUUAGCUAGUUGGCGGGUAACGCCCACCAAGGCGAAGAUCGGUA
rnacentral:rRNA from 1 species